CCACGCAGUAAACGAUGAUUACUAGCUGUUUGCGAUACACAGUAAGCGGCUUAGCGAAAGCGUUAAGUAAUCCACCUGGGGAGUACGUUCGCAAGAAUGAAACUCAAAGGAAUUGACGGGGGCCCGCACAAGCGGAGGAACAUGUGGUUUAAUUCGAUGAUACGCGAGGAACCUUACCCGGGCUUGAAAUGCAUUUGAUCGGCAAAGAGAUUUGCCUUCCCUUCGGGGCAGAUGUGUAGGUGCUGCAUGGUUGU
rnacentral:rRNA from 1 species